AUAAGGUUUAUAUUAAAAUAACUUAACUAUUCAUAAUAAUUGAAUUUAAAUAAAUAACAUAUUAUAUAAAUUAUAUUUACGAUUAUAAUAUAUGAGUUAAAUAUAUCAUAAAUGAGUUAAACGGGUUGAACUCUUUCAAUCCGUUAAAUAAAUGAAUUAGUAGUGUUGAUCUCCCUUUAACACUGCUCGGAAUCAAAACAAAAGCACAAAUGAAUUGUGCAUCCCACACAUCCCGAGCAAAAUUGUUCAACCCAAAUAUCACAGCUCAUUGUGACUGGUGGUGCAAGGGUGUGUUGGCUUCUUCCGCAGCUCAAUCCGACCGCCUGAAAAUAUCCUCCUCUGCCGCCGCUGAAUCCGUACGCAUCAUCCAUGGCUCUUCGUUGUGUACUUGAGAGUGUGGGUAGAAUUGGUUAUAAGAAUCAUCUGAAGAAGACAAAGCUAGGGCUUUUGAGUGGCCUUAUCUCUCUCUCUCUAACUCUCUCUCUCCAAAUCUACAUAAAUACCUACUACAAUUACGGGAGUACUAAACCCUUCUCGGGACCUUUGGAUGAUCCGAGUCUUACAGGAAUGGGCAUUAGAGUUGUGUAGGCUCGCUCCCCAGAGACCUUCCAAUGUGGUUGUUUACGCAAGGUACCUACUUCGAGACCUUAGUGUUUGAAUUUGAUUUAAAUCCUUUAGCAUUUAUUUGAAUUAUAUUUUGAGAUGUCAUUUAUUGACAUAUAUUAUAUACCCGUCUUAGUAUGUUUUGUCUUCCGCUUUGGGACUGUGAAUCAUGUUCUACAGAAACAAAAUCAUAAGAUUAUGACAUAGUAGAAUUAGGACCUUUCUUUUCUAUUUGUUUUUGCAUUAAUAUAUACUUUGAUUGUGAAUUAUCUCAUGAUUUAUCUCACGGAAUUUUUGAUGGAUACGGUGUUCCUAUUUCUACAUGGUUUUCCAAUUUAAUUUCUGAUUAGAGGUCUGUCUCCUCACAUUGGGUUUUAACCUUUAAUGUUAACCUUGCUUCAUUAAUUUGAUCAUAAUUUUGAAAACGGGUUAUCGAUAUACACUUUAUAUCCUUUUCUAUUAGAGAAGAAAUUUUUUAUUUUCUCAUCAGGUACAAUAUUUAUUGGUUACCGUAGUUGUUAAAGGAAACAUUUUGACCCUUUUUUGCUUGCGGGUUGUGGACCCAUAGCCCAAUAUAUAAGGGUAUUUAGGGUUUGGAGGGAUAUUGAGAAACACUAAAAAUUGCAGAAAAGAGAGUGAGAGCAAGAGCUAGGGCUUGGGGGCGGAAACUUGUAAUCUCCAGUUUUUUUGCAUAGUGAAAUCUUUCACCGGAUCUCCAUCGUGGAUGUAGACACACCUUGCAUCGAACCACGCUAAAUCUUUUUGUUCUUUGUGUGUGGCGUGUUUAUUUUUCUGUCAUGCUUCGUGAUUGUUAUUUGGUUCUUUGUUGUUUCUUGCAACAUUAUUUUUAGAUUUAUUAAAGUAACAAUCCAUAAACACUUUUAUUCCUCUGCUUAUCUGAAUUCCUUUAAGUUUUAGACCUUUCCUCCAAACCUCCAAUUUACACUUAUCUUUCCUCUAGUUUCAUCAAUGAAUAUAAUACAAUCAAAUAACAUAUACGAUGGAAUCUGAUCCUAUCUCAUCAAUUUAUCCAUAGCUAAGGCAAAAUAUAUUCUUAAUGCUAACCCUUGACCUGAAGGAGAAGGAAAAAGCUGAAGGAGAAGGAAAAAGCUUCCGACGCUGUUAGAGAGAGAGAGAGAGAGAGAGCGAGUUGGGAGAGGGACCUAGUGAGAGAAACAACCACCAUGUGAGAGAAGAAACUAGUGAGAGAAAGAUAGGUUCCGAUUCAAACCCUAGCAAGAGAGACCCCAACGAACCUCCUUCCGAUAACUGCUGUCCAAUCUGUUUUGACACCUUCGUCGUUCCUUCCGGGCUUAGUGUGGCCACUGGUAUUGUGGUAAGUUUUCCAUACCAAAAUUCCCAAUCCUCUGUUUCGUUUUCUCUAUUUUCUUGGCAACCAAACAAGCAUGAGUAUUUUAUUGCAUUUGAUUUGUUUCUAGAACCUUUUUAAAGAUGGAGUUGCAUAUUUUUUUGCUUGCUUCUUGGUUGAGGUUUUGUUUGGGUCUUGACAAACUCUAGGAUAAGGGGAGAAAAUUGGGUAUUAGAGAUUUCAUAUUGAACCUAAGAUGGUGAAUUACUCUGUUUGUUUUUAUAAUUUAAUUUUGGUUAAUGAUAUGCAGCAUAACUCAGAAUUUGUGUUCCUAUAUCCUAAUUGUGGAUCAUUAAACUAUCUAUGUAGUAACCUGUAGUCACUGCACACAACUAAAUAUAACAUAGGUUUUACAAGUAAUUAUAGUUCGUUUGAAACAUCUUUUGAAGUCAUUAUUAACUUGUGUUAGUGUAUAUUUUUUUGUAAUUUUAUAACAAUUGAAAACAUCUGAUCUGUGUUCUAUAUAUCCAGGCAAACGCUUUUCCUUCCUACCAAGGUGAUGCAUAGUUUAGAGGAAAUAAUUAAACUACCAUUGAGGCUAUAAUCUCUUCAAUUCACUUGCGGAUAAAAGUGGUUGUUUGAGGCACUAAUCAAGCAAAUAUAGAGUUACUGACAUUGUUUUAAACUCUAGCUACAAGUUCUUCCUUUAUGUUUAGUUGGGUUAUUUGAAGCCAGAGCGUGAUUAGUGCUUUGAAGUGUUAAUUAUACGUUUAAAAACUGCUAACCAUGUUUGGAAAUAGUAUUUGAACACACUUCAAACAUAACAUUGUUUGAGUUCACACACAUCCCAAGCAAUUCCACUUAUAUAAUUCAACCCAAAUAUCACAUCUCUUUGUGACUGGUGGUGCAAGGGUGUGUUGGUCAUUUCAAAAUCCUCCCUCAGUUAACUAUAAAAAGGCUACCCCAAGGCUUCUUCUGCAGCUCAAUCCGACCGCCUGAAAAUAUCCUCGUCCGCCGCCGCUGAAUCCGUACGCAUCCAUCCAUGGCUCUUCAUUGUGUGAUUGAGAGUGUGGGUAGAAUUGGUUAUAAGAAUCAUCUGAAAGAGACAAACCUAGGGUUUUUGAGUGGCCUUUCAACCAAAAACCACCACCAGAAUCUCAGCCCUUUCUGUCGUCAAGCUAGGGUUUUUGAGUGGCCUUUCAACCAAAAACCACCACCAGAAUCCCAGCCCUUUCUGUCCUCAUUCCUCCUUUUCGUCAACAAAAAUCUGAAUGUCAGUUAAAGCUGCAUGUCACAGAAUUCAAAUCUUGAGUUUGUGAGAGUGAUCGAGGCAAAUAAACAGUGCGUUUCUGGUCAAAUGUGUUUUAUCACCUUUGAGGCAACUGAUGCUGGUGUGAAGAACACUUAUCAUGCUAAGGUUUAUUGUUCUUUUCAAAAGGAAUGGGCAUCAGAGUUGUGUAGGCUCGCUCCUCAGAGACCUUCAAAUGUGGUUGUUUAAGCAAGCUAGUUAUGGGAAGAAUUAGAAGAGCUUAGAAAGAAGGCGAACGAUACAAAACCUGAAGGAGAAGGAAAAAGCUUCCGACUCUGUUAGAAAGAGAAAGAGCCAGCUGGAGUAUGAAUUGAGUGAGAUGGAGUAGGCACCUAGUGAGAGAAACAGUGAUGUGAGAGAAACUAGCGAGAGAAAGAUAGGUUCCGUUUCAAACCCUAGCAAGAGUGUCUCCAACGCACCUCCUUCCGAUGACUGUUGUCCAAUCUGUUUCGACACCUUCGUCGUUUCAUUCCUUCCUGGGCUCAGUAUGGCCACUGAUACUCUGAAUUCAAAUCUUGAGUUUGUGAGAGUGAUCUAGGCAAACAGACAGUGCGUGUCUGGUCAAAUGUGGUAUAUCACCUUUGAGGCAACUGAUGCUGGUGUGAAGAACACUUAUCAAGCUAAGGUUUAUUGUUCUUUUCAAAAGGAAUGGGCAUUAGAGUUGUAUAGGCUCGCUCCUCAUAGACCUUCAAAUGUGGUUGUUUAAGCAAGGUGGAUUGGCAUCUCAUCUGUGCUGGGGUAAGGUUAGGCCUGGAUGGUCUGUAACUGCUGUAUUUGUGAUGCUUGAUAGACUCUCCUCUACGGUUAAUCUUCACAGGAGAAGGCUGCAAGAUGCUCAAACUGUCAUAAAGAGGUCACUUGUUUGUGCCUUGUCAGUUUGCUCAUGCCUUCCGGACUUGGUUUGGUGAAGUCCUAAACUGGGAUCUGGUGCAGUUUGCUUACUUUGCAGGGCUUGAUGCAGGAUGGUAGAUGGGGUCUCGGAAUGUUGGUAGAAGGGAUAGGUUGUUGCUGAUGUUUUUGUUUGGGCAUGCUGAGAUGCACCACUUUCACCCUGGUUCUUGCAAUCCACAACUGUGCUAUGGGCUUUGUGGGGCGAGAGAAAUAAGAGAUACCACCAAGGGUUGUGCUCAUCGUUGAAGAGGCUGCUAAACCUACCUGUUACAUGGUUGUAGAUGCUGCUGGGCUAAAUUUCCAAGAUGUUGUAAUUUUAUUUUUAUGUUUCCUGAUCUGGUUUUUUUACUUGUAUUGGAAAUGGUAUUACUCCAUUUCAUAAUCUGGAGUGUUACGUAUGUGGGGUAUGCCCCCACACUGAUCCACUCUACUCAAAGUCUACGCAAUGAAAGCUUGAUUUUGGAUCU